GUCCUCGUGCCACAAUGGAUACUGGAGCAGACUUCUAAUCUGCCGUGCGAAAGCACAUUGUAGGUUCGAAUCCUACCGAGGACG
rnacentral:tRNA from 1 species